GUUGGCGGCAGGCUUAACACAUGCAAGUCGAACGAGAAAGCACCUUCGGGUGUGAGUAAAGUGGCGGACGGGUGAGUAACGCGUAGGAAUCUACCCAGUAGCGGGGGAUAACGCCGGGAAACCGGGGCUAAUACCGCAUACGCUCCUUCUCUUGGUUGAGAAGGAGGAAAGAGGGCCUCUAUUUAUAAGCUCUCACUAUUGGAGGAGCCUGCGUUAGAUUAGCUAGUUGGUAGGGUAAAGGCCUACCAAGGCGACGAUCUAUAGCUGGUCUGAGAGGACGAUCAGCCACACUGGAACUGAGACACGGUCCAGACUCCUACGGGAGGCAGCAGUGGGGAAUCUUGGGCAAUGGGCGCAAGCCUGACCCAGCCAUGCCGCGUGUGUGAAGAAGGCCUUCGGGUUGUAAAGCACUUUCA
rnacentral:rRNA from 1 species